rnacentral:rRNA from 1 species
UACGUAGGGUGCAAGCGUUGUCCGGAAUUAUUGGGCGUAAAGAGCUCGUAGGCGGUUUGUCGCGUCGAAUGUGAAAACCCGGGGCUCAACCCCGGGCCUGCAUUCGAUACGGGCAGACUAGAGUUCGGUAGGGGAGUCUGGAAUUCCUGGUGUAGCGGUGAAAUGCGCAGAUAUCGGGAGGAACACCUAUGGCGAAGGCAGCUCGCUGGGACGUUACUGACGCUGAGACGCGAAAGCGUGGGGAGCAAACAGG